rnacentral:rRNA from 1 species
UAACGAAUAUUGGGCAAUGGGCGAAAGCCUGACCCAGCAAUGCCGCGUGCAGGACGAAGUCCUUCGGGAUGUAAACUGCUGUCAGGGGUCCGCAAGCGAAGGGGUCCAACAGGCCCUGGAGUUGAGCAGCCCCAGAGGAAGCCUCGACUAACUCUGUGCCAGCAGUCGCGGUAAGACAGAGGAGGCAAGCGUUGUUCGGAAUCACUGGGCUUAAAGCGCGUGUAGGCGGCUUAGAAAGUGUCGUGUGAAAUCCCGCGGCUCAACCGCGGAACUGCACGGCAAACUACUUGGCUUGAGGUCGGUAGAGUUGCCUGGAACUCUAGGUGGAGCGGUGAAAUGCGUAUAUAUCUAGAGGAACGCCAGAAGCGAAAGCGGGGCACUGGGGCGAUUCUGACGCUGAGACGCGAUAGCGUGGGAAGCAAACA